rnacentral:lncRNA from 1 species
CAUCUUGAAUUAAUUCUGAUUCAUGUUGAAUCCAUUCUGAUUCAUGUUGAAUCCAUUCUGAUUCAUGUUGAAUUCAUUCUGAUUAAUGUUGAAUCAAUUCUGAUUCAGGUUGAAUCCAUUCUGAUUCAUGUUGACUCCAUUCUGAUUCAUGUUGACUCCAUUCUGAUUCAUGUUGAAUCCAUUCUGAUUCAUGUUGAAUCCAUUCUGAUUCAUGUUGAAUCCAAUCGGAUUCAUGUUGAAUCCAUUCUGAUUCAUGUUGAAACCAUUCUGAUUCAUGUUGAAACCAUUCUGAUUCAUGUUGAAUCCAUUCUGAUUCAUGUUGAAACCAUUCUGAUUCAUGUUGAAACCAUUCUGAUUCAUGUUGAAACCAUUCUGAUUCAUGUUGACUCCAUUCUGAUUCAUGUUGACUCCAUUCUGAUUCAUGUUGACUCCAUUCUGAUUCAUGUUGAAUCCAUUCUGAUUCAUGUUGACUCCAUUCUGAUUCAUGUUGAAUCCAUUCUGAUUCAUGUUGAAACCAUUCUGAUUCAUGUUGAAACCAUUCUGAUUCAUGUUGAAACCAUUCUGAUUCAUGUUGAAACCAUUCUGAUUCAUGUUGACUCCAUUCUGAUUCAUGUUGACUCCAUUCUGAUUCAUGUUGACUCCAUUCUGAUUCAUGUUGAAUCCAUUCUGAUUCAUGUUGACUCCAUUCUGAUUCAUGUUGAAUCCAUUCUGAUUCAUGUUGAAACCAUUCUGAUUCAUGUUGAAACCAUUCUGAUUCAUGUUGACUCCAUUCUGAUUCAUGUUGAAUCCAUUCUGAUUCAUGUUGACUCCAUUCUGAUUCAUGUUGACUCCAUUCUGAUUCAUGUUGAAUCCAUUCUGAUCCAUGUUGAAACCAUUCUGAUUCAUGUUGAAACCAUUCUGAUUCAUGUUGACUCCAUUCUGAUUCAUGUUGAAUCCAUUCUGAUUCAUGUUGAAUCCAUUCUGAUUCAUGUUGAAACCAUUCUGAUUCAUGUUGAAACCAUUCUGAUUCAUGUUGAAACAAUUCUGAUUCAUGUUGAAACCAUUCUGAUUCAUGUUGACUCCAUUCUGAUUCAUGUUGACUCUAUUCUGAUUCAUGUUGAAUCAGGUGUGUUUAGCUCUGGAUCAAAUCAAAUCCUUUGA